AUUGAACGCUGGCGGCAUGCCUUACACAUGCAAGUCGAACGGCAGCACGGGGGCAACCCUGGUGGCGAGUGGCGAACGGGUGAGUAAUGCAUCGGUACGUGCCCAGUAGUGGGGGAUGACCAGUCGAAAGGCUGGCUAAUACCGCAUACGACCUACGGGUGAAAGCGGGGGACCGUAAGGCCUCGCGCUAUUGGAGCGGCCGAUGUCUGAUUAGCUAGUUGGCGGGGUAAGAGCCCACCAAGGCGACGAUCAGUAGCUGGUCUGAGAGGACGACCAGCCACACUGGGACUGAGACACGGCCCAGACUCCUACGGGAGGCAGCAGUGGGGAAUUUUGGACAAUGGGCGCAAGCCUGAUCCAGCCAUGCCGCGUGCGGGAAGAAGGCCUUCGGGUUGUAAACCGCUUUUGGCAGGAACGAAACGGCGCAAGCCAAUACCUUGCGCUAAUGACGGUACCUGCAGAAUAAGCACCGGCUAACUACGUGCCAGCCGCCGCCGUAA
rnacentral:rRNA from 1 species